GAUGAACGCUGGCGGCGUGCCUAAUACAUGCCAGUCGAGCGAACGGACGAGAAGCUUGCUUCUCUGAUGUUAGCGGCGGACGGGUGAGUAACACGUGGAUAACCUACCUAUAAGACUGGGAUAACUUCGGGAAACCGUAGCUAAUACCGGAUAAUAUUUUGAACCGCAUGGUUCAAAAGUGAAAGACGGUCUUGCUGUCACUUAUAGAUGGAUCCGCGAUGCAUUAGCUAGUUGGUAAGGUACCGCCUUACCAAGGCAACGAUGCAUAGCCGACCUGAGAGGGUGGUCGGCCACACUGGAACGGAGACACGGUCCAGACUCCUACGGGAGGCAGCAGUAGGGAAUCUUCCGCAAUGGGCGAAAGCCUGACGGAGCAACGCCGCGUGAGUGAUGAAGGUCUUCGGAUCGUAAAACUCUGUUAUUAGGGAAGAACAUAUGUGUAAGUAACUGUGCACAUCUUGACGGUACCUAAUCAGAAAGCCACGGCUAACUACGUG
rnacentral:rRNA from 1 species